UCCCUGGUGGUCCAGUAGUUAGGACUUGGUGCUUUUAUUGCUCAGGGCCUGGGUUCAAUUCCUGAUUGGGGAA
rnacentral:tRNA from 1 species